rnacentral:rRNA from 1 species
GACGAACGCUGGCGGCGUGCCUAAUACAUGCAAGUAGAACGCAGUUGCGAACGGGUGAGUAACGCGUAGGUAACUGCCUCAUAGCGGGGGAUAACUAUUGGAAACGAUAGCUAAUACCGCAUCCUGUGAGAUGGACCGGCGUUGUAUUAGCUAGUUGGUGAGGUAAAGGCUCACCAAGGCGACGAUACAUAGCCGACCUGAGAGGGUGCGCGGCCAAACUGGGACUGAGACACGGGCCCGACUCCUACGGGAGGUAGCAGUAGGGAAUCUGCGGAAAUUGACGGAAGUCUGACCGAGCACAGCCGCGGGAGUUAAGAAGGUUUUCGGAUCGUAAAGCUCUGUUGUGAGAGAAGCGGUAACUACACAGAAAGGGACGGCUAACUACGUGCCAGCAGCCGCGGUAAUAC